GUCGAGAAUAAUUCACAAUGGGGGAAACCCUGAUGGUGCAACGCCGCGUGGAGGAUGAAGGUCUUCGGAUUGUAAACUCCUGUCAUUGGAGAGUAAGACCUGGCGGUCAAUAGCCGACAGGGUUGAUAGUAUCCAAAGAGGAAGGGACGGCUAACUUCGUGCCAGCAGCCGCGGUAAUACGAAGGUCCCAAGCGUUGUUCGGAAUCACUGGGCGUAAAGGGAGCGUAGGCGGCGUGGUAAGUCAGAUGUGAAAUCCCGGGGCUCAACCCCGGAACUGCAUCCGAUACUGCCGUGCUUGAGGGUUGGAGAGGUAGCUGGAAUUAUCGGUGUAGCAGUGAAAUGCGUGGAUAUCGAUAGGAACACUCGUGGCGAAGGCGAGCUACUGGACAACAUCUGACGCUGAGGCUCGAAGGCUAGGGGAGCAAAAGGG
rnacentral:rRNA from 1 species